UACGAAGGGGGCUAGCGUUGCUCGGAAUCACUGGGCGUAAAGCGCACGUAGGCGGCUUUCUAAGUCAGGGGUGAAAUCCUGGAGCUCAACUCCAGAACUGCCUUUGAUACUGGAGAGCUUGAGUCCGGGAGAGGUGAGUGGAACUCCGAGUGUAGAGGUGAAAUUCGUAGAUAUUCGGAAGAACACCAGUGGCGAAGGCGGCUCACUGGCCCGGUACUGACGCUGAGGUGCGAAAGCGUGG
rnacentral:rRNA from 1 species